UACGAGGGGGGCAAGCGUUGUUCGGAAUUACUGGGCGUAAAGCGUGCGCAGGCGGUUUUGUAAGUCUGUCGUGAAAGCCCCGGGCUCAACCUGGGAAUUGCGAUGGAGACUGCAAGGCUUGAAUCUGGCAGAGGGGGGUAGAAUUCCACGUGUAGCAGUGAAAUGCGUAGAGAUGUGGAGGAACACCGAUGGCGAAGGCAGCCCCCUGGGUCAAGAUUGACGCUCAUGCACGAAAGCGUGGGGAGCAAACAGG
rnacentral:rRNA from 1 species